CCCGCUGAACUUAAGCAUAUCAGUAAGCGGAGGAAAGGAAACUAACAAGGAUUCCCACAGUAACUGCGAGUGAAGUGGGAAGAGCCCAAACUUGUAAUCGGCGGCAAGCUGGCGCCGAGUUGUGGUUUGGAGCCUGGAGGUGCGUGCUGGGGUGCCGCGGCAUAACAUUCUGGAACGUCUGGCCUGAGAGGGUGAAAGCCCCGUCCGGCAGCGGCGCCCAGGCACCCGCGCCAGGCCACGAGUCGGGCUGUUUGGGAUUGCAGUCCAAAGCGGGUGGUAAAUUCCAUCUAAGGCUAAAUACCGACAAGAGACCGAUAGCAAACAAGUACCGUGAGGGAAAAGUGAAAAGUACUUUGAAAAAAGAGUUAAAAGGACGUGAAAUUGCCGGCAGGGAAGCGAUUGGGACGGCAUAGCCGGGCUUGCGUGCUGGGUAGUGUGGGCGCCAUGCCUGCAUUAUCCCGGCGUUUUUAGCCUGGACAAUCGGGCGGCUUUGGCGCGGCACCACUCGUGGCCGCCGCGGCCGAGGCCGCUCUCAAUGCGCCGGCCCAAACGACCCGUCUUGAAACACGG
rnacentral:rRNA from 1 species